GGGUCGCCGAGGUGCUCUGGGUCCUCUCCGAUAGGUCCUGCUCUACAAAAGAAGAAACAUAUCAUUAUCAGUGAAAAAUUUGGCAGAACCUCCCCUGUACAGGGAGGUUUCCAAAACCUACAAGAAAAGCUGGCAUGAUGGUCGACAAACACAACAACACGAAGCCCAAUAAACACAAAGGCAUAAAGGUCGACAAUCACAAUGACACGAAGGCCGAUAACUAGAACCGGACGGUUCAUAUACCUUGGGCAUUGGUGGGAUGUGCACACAGAGAAGAAGACGCCG
rnacentral:lncRNA from 1 species